UACGAAGGGGGGCUAGCGUUGCUCGGAAUCACUGGGCGUAAAGGGUGCGUAGGCGGCUUCUUAAGUCAGGGGUGAAAUCCUGGAGCUCAACUCCAGAACUGCCUUUGAUACUGGGAGGCUCGAGUCCGGGAGAGGUGAGUGGAACUGCGAGUGUAGAGGUGAAAUUCGUAGAUAUUCGCAAGAACACCAGUGGCGAAGGCGGCUCACUGGCCCGGUACUGACGCUGAGGUGCGAAAGCGUGGGGAGCAAACAGG
rnacentral:rRNA from 1 species